AAAGGAUUAAGGGUUGAGAUUUAGCUCAAGACUCUUUUGUUUUUUUCUUUCUAAUCCAAUGGCUAGGAAUUCUGACUUACAGAUCAGAUCAAGGGUUAGGAAUGAAAUGUGCCGAAUCUGUUUGUUGCUUCAAUCCAAUAGCUUAGGAUUUGUUCUUACCAAUGAGAUCAAUGGUGCGGAUUAAGGCGUACUAGAAUGCUUUAAUUGCCUCAGACCCGAUGGUUCAGAUUCAUCCUUACAACAUGGGGUGGAUGGUGGAGAUCGAAUUGUACCCCAAAUGCUCUCGUAAAUCAAGGGUCUUGAUUCAAAGUAACUUUUGAAGUUCUGAUUUUCCAACCUUCUGAUCUUUA
rnacentral:misc_RNA from 1 species